UACGUAGGGGGCAAGCGUUGUCCGGAAUCAUUGGGCGUAAAGCGAGCGUAGGCGGCCCGAUAAGUCUGGUGUGAAAGUCAACGGCUCAACCGUUGAAAGCCGGUGGAUACUGUCGGGCUAGAGUACGGAAGAGGCAAGUGGAAUUCCUGGUGUAGCGGUGGAAUGCGCAGAUAUCAGGAGGAACACCUAUAGCGAAGGCAGGUUGCUGGGAAGAAACUGACGCUAAGGCUCGAAAGCGUGGGGAGCGAACAGG
rnacentral:rRNA from 1 species